GGACUCCAUGCAUGUCUACAGUUUUAACUAAACUCCACAGUUUGUGGUCAACACUUGUCGGCUCUGGUGACGUAGCAGCCAGCUAGCGACGGUGUAUGAUGACGUAACCGUAACCAAGUGGUGUCUCAUUUCAUAGGGCACCAGCAGUGGCUUGUGAAGUUCUGGAUCCUCCACCGACUGCAAAACCAUGAAACAAUCAUGAACACAGAGCAGCUCUCUGAAACUCUCACGAUCACAGUGGAUUGACCAGUACCUUUACAUCUUCAUCCUUCUUGCACACUUUUCCAGUCAAAACACAGAAAAUGGUCGUCACACAGAGCUGAAGGACCAACAGUGUUAUUAUCAUGGCAUUUAGUCCUCGGAGGAUCAUCUAGAAGACACUGGACUACAGCAGAGAGAACCCAGAAUCUGACACAGUAUGGGCCAUUUGCUCUUUGGGUUUGAGGUGACGGUGAUGAUGGUCAAACCCUCAUCAUUAGACACUGUCAGAGACAUGCUGCAGACGGGAGUGAUGGACUUCAACCUUCUUAAAACAAGAGAAACAGCAGCAGCAGUGACGUCUUCCAGGAGCGGCUUGUGAAGUUCUGGAUCCUCCACCGACUGCAAAACCACAAACAGUCAUGAACACACAGAGCAGCUCUCUGAAACUCUCACGAUCACAGUGGAUUUGACUGAUUGAUUG